rnacentral:rRNA from 1 species
ACUGAGUUACCGCUCUACAACCCUUUGUGAACAUACCUAACCGUUGCUUCGGCGGGCAGGGGAAGCCUCUCGUGGGCGGACCCUCCCGGCGCCGGCCCCGUCACGGGGGCGGAGCGCCCGCCGGAGGAAACCAAACUCUAUUUACACGACGUCUCUUCUGAGUGGCACAAGCAAAUAAUUAAAACUUUUAACAACGGAUCUCUUGGUUCUGGCAUCGAUGAAGAACGCAGCGAAAUGCGAUAAGUAAUGUGAAUUGCAGAAUUCAGUGAAUCAUCGAAUCUUUGAACGCACAUUGCGCUCGCCAGCAUUCUGGCGAGCAUGCCUGUUCGAGCGUCAUUUCAACCCUCAAGCACCGCUUGGUUUUGGGGCCCCACGGCCGACGUGGGCCCUUAAAGGUAGUGGCGGACCCUCCCGGAGCCUCCUUUGCGUAGUAACUAACGUCUCGCACUGGGAUCCGGAGGGACUCUUGCCGUUAAACCCCCAAAUUUUUUCAGGUUGACCUCGGAUCAGGUAGGACUACCCGCUGAACUUAAGCAUAUCAAUAAGCGGAGGAAAAGAAACCAACAGGGAUUGCCCCAGUAACGGCGAGUGAAGCGGCAACAGCUCAAAUUUGAAAUCUGGCCCCAGGCCCGAGUUGUAAUUUGCAGAGGAUGCUUUUGGCGCGGUGCCUUCCGAGUUCCCUGGAACGGGACGCCAUAGAGGGUGAGAGCCCCGUACGGUUGGACACCAAGCCUUUGUAAAGCUCCUUCGACGAGUCGAGUAGUUUGGGAAUGCUGCUCUAAAUGGGAGGUACAUUUCUUCUAAAGCUAAAUAUUGGCCAGAGACCGAUAGCGCACAAGUAGAGUGAUCGAAAGAUGAAAAGCACUUUGAAAAGA